AUUGAACGCUGGCGGCAUGCCUUACACAUGCAAGUCGAACGGUAACAGGUCUUCGGAUGCUGACGAGUGGCGAACGGGUGAGUAAUACAUCGGAACGUGCCCGAUCGUGGGGGAUAACGGAGCGAAAGCUUUGCUAAUACCGCAUACGAUCUACGGAUGAAAGCAGGGGACCGCAAGGCCUUGCGCGGACGGAGCGGCCGAUGGCAGAUUAGGUAGUUGGUGGGAUAAAAGCUUACCAAGCCGACGAUCUGUAGCUGGUCUGAGAGGACGACCAGCCACACUGGGACUGAGACACGGCCCAGACUCCUACGGGAGGCAGCAGUGGGGAAUUUUGGACAAUGGGCGAAAGCCUGAUCCAGCCAUGCCGCGUGCAGGAUGAAGGCCUUCGGGUUGUAAACUGCUUUUGUACGGAACGAAAAGACUCUUUCUAAUAAAGAGGGUUCAUGACGGUACCGUAAGAAUAAGCACCGGCUAACUACGUG
rnacentral:rRNA from 1 species